rnacentral:rRNA from 1 species
ACGAGGAAUUCCUAGUAAGCGCGCGUCAUCAGCGCGUGCUGAUUACGUCCCUGCAAAAUGUACACACCGCCCGUCGCUAUUACCGAUUGAGUGUAAAGGUGAACCUUCUCGAUAGACGCAAGUUUAGAAAUUAAGUAAACCUUUGCACUUAGAGGAAAUAAAAGUCGUAACAAGGUUUCCGUAGGUGAACCUGCGGAAGGAUC